rnacentral:rRNA from 1 species
ACGGGAGGCAGCAGUGGGGAAUAUUGCACAAUGGGCGCAAGCCUGAUGCAGCGAUGCCGCGUGAGGGAAGAAGGUUUUCGGAUUGUAAACCUCUGUCAACAGGGACGAAAAUGACGGUACCUGUGAAGGAAGCUCCGGCUAAUUACGUGCCAGCAGCCGCGGUAACACGUAAGUUGCGAGCGUUGUUCGGAAUUAUUGGGCGUAAAGGGCAUGUAGGCGGUUUUGCAAGCUUGGUGUGAAAGGCAGGAGCUUAACUCCUGGACUGCGUUGAGAACUGCAAGACUUGAGUCACUGAGGGGCAAUCAGAAUUCCUGGUGUAGGGGUGAAAUCUGUAGAUAUCAGGAAGAAUACCAAUGGCGAAGGCAGGUUACCAGCAGAUGACUGACGCUGAGGUGCGAAGGUGCGGGGAGCAAACAGGAUUAGAUACCCUGGUA